CACACUGGCACGCAGGCAGAAAAAUCACUAAGUGGUCUGCCAGGGCACUCAGCGAUUUUGAAAGAGUCCAUGAAAAAAGAAAGUUUGGGAACCAUUGUAGAGGCAUGAGCCAAUGAAAAGUGCUUCUUCACACAAAAAAUAAGCGCUAUAAUAGUGAUAUUAAUCAUUUAUUGUUGUAAGUCACUUCAGAGGGCUCUUGAAAUUAGAAAGAAAGGGAAUAAAUAUUUUGAAUGGAUCUAAUUAUAUAAGCCAUUUAUUUUGUGACAUCUUAAAUGUUUGGAUUUUCUGGCAAACGUUAAAUACAAGCUUGGGAGUACUGAAACACUGGACUGUUGCUUCUUAUGCUCAGUGGCUAGACUACAGUACAGUCUUCAGUAUGGUUCCUACAGCUGUAGUCAUCAGCCAAAGUGCUAGUCAGAUAGCUGAAAACCUGUCAUGAAGUAACAUUGAUAUGUCUUGCAGACAUGUCUCAUAGUAUUCAGCUUAUUGACAGUCUACUUUGACAGUUCAUUUUUUUGUAUUUCAAUUUCUUUUUAUUGCAUAUUGCUCGCAGGCAUGUGAAAACCGUCUUGACUUCAUUGGUGAUUCUGUGGUUUUGGUUUAAACUCUGUCAUUUGCAUAAAAUGUAUAAUGUACCAUCAAAGGAGUGUGGAAUCUGUCUUUUGAGGAUGUAAAAAUAUGGACUGCAGCAUCUGGAAUGCAAAGUUCCGGUUUAUGUUUUGGGGGUUUUUUUGCUUGAGAUGCCAAGACAUAUCAGAUAACUGCCUGGAGCCCAUUCAUUCCAAUAUUUUGCAUUGCGACCCAUUUAAAGCAAACUCUAUUACAUUAAAACUAGAAUGCUUCCAACUCCAUUAAUACUAUAAUUUUGCUUAAUGAUGAAACAUUUAAAUGUUCGUGUUGAGAGAGAUUGUUUCUGUCAUGAUCUUGAAUUAAAUUAAGGUAGAUGCACUAUUGCUGGAACCUAAGCGUAGAAUAGGCUUCCUACCUAGGUAGUGGUUUAAAGGGGUACAUCCUUUAUUUUCACUGCUAAUGUCCUUUAGAAUUUAUGGUUUCUCUGGCAAUGUGGGUAAUGUGUAGACCAUGGGUAGGCAAACUAAGGCCCAGGGGCCAGAUCCGGCCCAGUCACUUUCUAAAUCCGGCCUGCGGACGGUCAAGGAAUCAGCGUGUUUUUACAUGAGCAGAAUGUGUCCUUUUAUUUAAAAUGCAUCUUUGGGUUAUAUGUGGGGCAUAGGAAUUCGUUAAUCCCCCCCAAAAAAUAUAGUCCGGUGCCCCCCCAAGGUCUGAGGGACAGUGGACCAGCCCCCUGCUGAAAAAGUUUGCUGACCCUUGGUGUAGACCUUCAGCUGAGAUGCUUUUCAUCAUAUUACCCUGAGGAAUUUGAUGGCAACGGCAAAAAUAAUUUCUUUCAGAAUCACAAAUACAGUUUGUAUGUUUAUUUAUUUAUUAGAUUUAUAAGCCCUUCAUCACAAGAUCUCAGGGUGGUUCACAAUAUUAAAGCACAAGGUAAAAGCACAAAUAAAUAGUUAAAACAGCAGAAUAACCGCACCCCCAACACAUUUAAAAGGCUGUAGAAUAUUAAUCAGCCAAAGGCCUGAUUGAAGAGAAACGUUUUCACCUGGUGCCAGACAAACCUCCUUGGGGAGAGCAUUCCACAAAUGGGGGGCCACUGCAGAAAAGGCCUGCUCUCAUGAAGAAGGGCCUCAGAUGAUGAACACAGAGUCCAGGUAGGUUUACCUGGAAUAUAGUUGUUUUUUUACAGAAUCAAUACAGAUAUUAUUUGUGCACAUAUAUUGCAUGGAAUGGUAAGAAUUUUACUGCUAUUUUUCUGUUGUCCCAUGAUGUCUUGUUACCCACAACCCUGCUUCCAUCUUCUGUUUCAUGCAGCUCACAUACUGGGUUUACUCUCACACCAGCAAUUGCCAGCAUGAAAUGAGGAGUCAGGAAGUCUUCUGGGACUCCCCAUAAGAUUUUAUAUGAGCCCAGGAUAAUGAGUAUGUGCAAUAGGUGGAACAGAAUGUUUCCUAUGCACACAGAAUUUGUGAAUUUGUUGACAAAAGGAACACCCUUACAGCAAACAUCAUACUUAGCCUGAGUUCUGUGUAGAUGAUACUGCUUCAAUCUGUUGAGUAUGGGUUGUCUGUCAUUAAUCAGAAUCCUUCCCUCUAGUUAUGGCUGUGUAAGAAGAUGGGGGAGGCUUGAAUGAGUUUUUGCUCGAAUGCUUUGGAAACACCUUUUUGCCACAGAAGGAUUUAAACCAGCACCCCAACAAAGAGUUUAUUAAAAAAUGCUGAGCAUUUUCUUCUAGGCACCUACUUUAAGGUCACCUCCCCUUGUUGCUUUUUGUGUGAUGCCUUUGUAUAAAAAAUGUUCAACCACUUUCACCAUUUAAUAUUGAGAAAUAUUCUUUAGAAUAAUCAGCUGUAGUUACAAAAAUGAAAUUAAGGGAAUGCUAACUUUCAUCAUAGGUGAAGGGGAAUCAGAAAAGGGGCUACACUGCCAUACUUGGGGGAAGAUGUUUCAAAGCAGUUUGAAUAGCCGUAAUAGUGGUUAAAUGACUAGUGUCCUGGGAAAUCCAUCAAAGCAUUCCAGCAAGGAAAGAUGGAAGUGUCUAGUAAUAAAAUUACAUGCGCACCUUGGCUUGCUUUGGUUACAUAUUUUUCUGUUUUAUUGCUUGAAGUAAUAAAAAAAAUGCCUUUAGACUAUUGUUCAAAAUGUAUUAUGAUAACAAAUAUGAAGCAGUGUUUAAUAUUUUAUAACAUUCAAACAAGAGCAAGCACAGCUCAAAAUGCAGCGUGUAGGAGGAAGUCUUUACUGCAGUAGUUUUGCUCAAGAACGUGAAUGUGCACUGACCCAGAUGUUUGUGAUUCUGCGUAGUGUGUGGGCUCCAACAGCACCAUACGCCAGUACUGAGUAUGUUGUAGAAUAAUCCACAUUGUUCUAACAAAAUGAUUAUUUAGAUUUUGCAUGCACGCAUGCAGGCUAAAUUGCAAAUGAGUGCAGUAUUCAAGACAAUAGAAAUUGUAUAAUACUUCCAUUUUACAGAAGUCAAGGUGGACAUCUUAACCUACUGUUUUCAUGCUAAGAAACAAUUCUAGAAUUUCUGUGGUUUUUAUUUUUAAAGGGAAGACAAUGGGUAAUGUCCAGAGCAGUACCAACCGACAGGAAACCCUUAAGAACUAUAUAGAAAGUGAAUAGAAAAAACUGCAGUAUUGCAUUUCUUUCAGGCUAUUUACUACUAUACUAUAUUCUACCUCACUUAUUUCCACAAUGUACAGCCACAUCAACUCAAUCAAUGUUUUGUCAGGCGUAUACAUCAAGUUAUUGUGAAAGAAUAGCUGCCCAGAUGUUUAGUACGUAUAUUGCCAUGUUAAUCCCUGCCUGGAGAUUUUCUGUAUUUAUAUUUCUUAAAAUUUGUGAUUACUGUAUUUAUCACCUCGGUGUGAAUUUUGACAUUCAAGAUCUCUUGAGUGGCUGGUACAACAUGUUCUCCAAUUUUUCAAGAAACAACAUAUAAAAUCCCUGAGACUGUUACAGCAGUAUAAAUAUUGCAAGGAGCCUGCAAGUACACUGCCCACAAAUUACUUAGAUUGCAUAACUUGCGCUCACGAUUCUCUUUCCACUAACAACGUAAACCUGUACCUACCUAUUUGGAAGUAAAUCCUAUUUUGAGUUCAAUGGAACUUACUCCAAGGUCAUGAUGACUGACUUUCAAACUAUACAAUAUAUUUUCACCAAACCAAUCAUAGGCACAGCCUAGCAGAUACUCGAGUUUUAAAAAACAAUUUCAACCUUCCCAAAACAUUCAGGUAUUGUUACUAACUGGCAUAG